UGGAAGAGUUGUCUCUUGCGCAGACCUGGUUGUUCUAGCAGCUCGCGAUGCUGUUUCUCUGGUAAAUUAAUUAAUUUCAUGCCUUAUUUAUUUAUUUUUUUGAUCUAAAACGUAAAAGUAAAAUCUGCAACAAAACUCACUACUAUAUAUACUUCAAAAUACACACAAAGAAAAGUCCCCAAAGCCAUCCUACAACUUCAGAAAGUGUAAUUUAAAUUAAGGUACGACCAUCUACAAUAUAAGAAAAAGAGAACAACAUAUUAUGUGAAAAAAAAAGCUGCAUAUUUUUUUUAUCUACAAUAAUGAAGAAUAUAUUAAAUAUGAAUGCUAGACUCACUCCAUUUUCUGAAAUUUUCCAUUUUCUGAAAUUUAAAAUUAUUUUAUAUAUAAAUUUAAAAUAAGAAUUUUAAAAGGUUUAAAAAAUUAAAAUAACUUACUCGCAAACUAAUUUUAAUUUAUUUUUAUAAAUAUCUGUGCAGAACCUUGUAUAAAAGAUGUAUUUUUUUUUCUCCUAGGUGGACAUUUAAAAAAUAUUCCACAAAAGUUAAAACAAAGAAGUCAUCUUUUAAAUGAUGAUUGACAGCACUUUCACCUAAAAAGAAGGAGUAUGAUUAUUUUCUACUAGGAUGAGUAGGAGAACACUUUUUCUUUUGUUUGUACAAAGAACCAUACCACUUUAACAAAAAAAUAUUAUUUCUAUUAAUUAUUAUGCUCCAUCUUUUUAAGAGAGCAUGCCCUAAGGUUUAUAUGAGAAAGAGUCUUAACUAUUUGAUGAAAGAGUUAAUGAGUAUUGUUUAUAUGUAUAAAGAAUGAUUAGCAUUCUCUUGAUGGUUGUUUUUCCACUUUGGUUUAGUUGGGGGGUCCAAAAUUUGCAGUGCCACUGGGAAGAAAGGACGGUCUAACGUUCAGCAUAAACGGCACAAGAAACCUUCCACCACCGUCGUUCAGAACUGGCAAGCUCCUCGACACGUUCGCCGCCAGAAAUUUCAGUGCCACCGACGUGGUGGCACUCUCCGGAGCGCACACAUUCGGGCGGGCCCACUGCUCCACAUUCUUCAACCGAAUCAACCAGACGGGGACACCAAUCGACCCGUUCUUGGCCAAGAACCUGAGCAAGACGUGUCCGACUUCGCAGUCUUCGAACACGGCGGUGCUGGACGUGCGAACCCCGAACGUUUUCGAUAACAAGUACUACGUGAACCUGGCAAACAGCCAGGGCCUGUUCACCUCGGACCAGGACCUGUUUAGCGACUCGAGGACAAAAGGGAUUGUGAACUCCUUUGCUUCCGAUCAGAAAGUGUUCUUCGAUAGUUUUGCCGAUGCGGUGGUGAAGUUGAGCCAGUUGGAUGUGUUGACGGGGAAACAGGGACAGAUUCGCGCCAAAUGCUC
rnacentral:lncRNA from 1 species